AUUGAACGCUGGCGGCAGGCCUAACACAUGCAAGUCGAGCGGAUGAAGGGAGCUUGCUCCUGGAUUCAGCGGCGGACGGGUGAGUAAUGCCUAGGAAUCUGCCUGGUAGUGGGGAUAACGUCCGGAAAAGGGCGCUAAUAACGCCUACGUCCUUGGGGGGGAAGGGGGGGAUCUUCGGGACCCACGCCUUCCAGAGGACCUAGGUCGGAUUAGCUAGUUGGUGGGGUAAAGGCCUACCAAGGCGACGAUCCGUAACUGGUCUGAGAGGAUGAUCAGUCACACUGGAACUGAGACACGGUCCAGACUCCUACGGGAGGCAGCAGUGGGGAAUAUUGGACAAUGGGCGAAAGCCUGAUCCAGCCAUGCCGCGUGUGUGAAGAAGGUCUUCGGAUUGUAAAGCACUUUAAGUUGGGAGGAAGGGCAGUAAGUUAAUACCUUGCUGUUUUGACGUUACCAACAGAAUAAGCACCGGCUAACUUCGUG
rnacentral:rRNA from 1 species